rnacentral:rRNA from 1 species
AUACAGGGGGUGCGAGCGUUAAUCGGAAUUACUGGGCGUAGAGAGUACGUAGGCGGUUGCUUAAGUCAGAUGUGAAAGCCCCGGGCUCAACCUGGGAACUGCAUUUGAAACUGAGUGACUAGAGUUUAAGAGAGGGGAGUAGAAUUCCGGGUGUAGCGGUGAAAUGCGUAGAGAUCCGGAGGAAUACCAGUGGCGAAGGCGGCUCCCUGGCUUAAAACUGACGCUGAGGUACGAAAGCGUGGGUAGCAAACAGGAUUAGAAACCCCAGUAGUCC